rnacentral:lncRNA from 1 species
GGGGUCAGGGGCUAAAAGCAUGUGUGGGAGAAAUGUAAGUUCUCCUUAUAGAACGUAGCCUUUUUGUAGCCCUGUUCAACACAGUCCUACACCAGGCAGCAGGCCCCGAACAAGAGUAGGUCUUGAUGCUCUAGCAGAUCACUUCCUCCAGCCAGUGUGGUAUAGAGAGGAGGCUACUGAGGGCCUCACUAAUACACAGGAG